rnacentral:lncRNA from 1 species
AUGAGAGCGUUUUUGAGUACCUGGUGACAUCUUUGUUGUAUCCCUUUUUUUGACAGAGAUGGGAGCUGUGCCCUGAGCAUUACUCAUGAGGUUACUAAGAAGAAGCUGUUAGAAAAGACUCCUUCAUACCUCUGGCAGUGCUGACAUCCAUGCUACAGUGUAGUCAUUUGAAACUGCAGGGACAUCGGUCUUCACUGACACCUGGGAACACAAAGGCGAUUAUUUGGAAACAAACAAAACUUCAGCAUUAUUACAGACAUGGGAGGCAGGACCUGAAGUCUGACUUCUGCAGUGAACUUCUCGUGAGCUCGCAUCGAACGCGCCGUGUGAUCCCGGCCUGCGGUAACACCGUGUCCUCGGACUCGGAGUGACUCUUCAUUGAAUCCAGCUGCGGCUGAAUUCGGCUGGAAGUGGCGGUGCUCAGAUACCACAGUGAUGAGUGUGGUGUAACAAUGAGAAUUUGAUUUUUGAGUGAAAACUUCAGUAUAUUUGGAUAGCAAACCGUUCCAAUUCUGAUAAGCCACUUCCAAGAGCCAUGUAGCAUCUCUCUGAGAUACUGGGAGUCAAGGUCUGAGGGAGCCAUGUUUGAAAGAGCAUGCUUGCAAUUUAUUAAUGAACAGCCAGCCAUCAGGGUAGGUACACAACUGCAAUUAACUGCCUUCUUUGCACAAGUGGUGGGGAGAUGAAUUUCUGCGUCUUUGGACAACCCAGAGCACCACGAUUACUUUGCUUCUGGCAAUACUUGUGGUCCUAAAUAUGGCAGGCGUGACUUUGGAUGUGACAUAGUAAUUGUGGUCAGCGUGUGAUAGCCAGCUGUUGGUCUCGUUGUCAACCAAGCAAAGCAAAGCAAGUCCAGGUCAAAUGGUUUUGGCUUCCAAGGAUCACUUAACUGCUGCGGAAAGCAUUGUUAGCAUUGGGAGGCUGCUUGUGGUCCCUAAAGUCUCUGGUACUCAUUAUAAAGGUAGGGAGGAUAAGCUUCUGCAUUCCAGGUUAUUAUAUUUUGUCUACUCAGUUUUCCUUGCCGUUCUGGCUGAAUAAGAGCACCCAUCCUCAUGUUCUUUUAGGAUAAUAAACAGCUGCUGUGUUUCGACA